UCGUACACUUCUAGCAGGGCUGGGCCGAUCCAAUCCCACAGAGCCGAAUACAACUCAGCUGACCUCAGGGAUGCUAUAAUUUCCCUCACCUCCUCAGGCUAAAGAUUCCUACUCCUGAUCACUGUCCAGCGACCACUGUUGGAGAGUAACCAUGUGGCAGGUGGAGACAGAUCAGAUUUGGCUGGGCUCCCAUACAAUGGAAGGCCAAUUGGGUAAAUUAUAGAGUGCAGCUGUAGCCUGUGAAACAAUUCCUUAUGCAAGAGUCAACACCUUCAGGAUGAGAUGGAGAGUUCUUUAAACUUUUGCUUUUUCUUCUUGGCUUUUCCCCUAGUCAAUUGAAGAUUUAUUUGUUUAAACUGAAUUUUUGAAAUGGGUCAAAUUUGUUACACGAUUGGUAAAUAAUGCAGCCAUUCCAUUCUAAAAAUAAUCAAGUUAAUGAUUGUGAUUGCACAGUAAUUUUGUGUUCAAAUAUUGUCACUGAGUGUACAAUUUUAGUCGGCUAAUUUGCAUUUCAUUUUAAUAUGAUCUAACUAAAUAUUUCAAUUUAUUUCUGCAUUGGAGGUCACUGCAGCUCAUUUGAAUGAAUGUGUUACAUUUGUCCCAACAGCAACUCCAUUCUGAAUUAGUCCUCCUAUCAGAAUAGUUCACCGAAAAGUGUGCUGAACUGUAUUGUUUUGCUUUUGACCAUGAAAACAUAUUUUUGUUUUUACUGCCUCAGUAGAGUUCUGAGAAGACGAUUCAGGCAAUAAGAAUCUAUUUCAAAAAUUGCCAGAUUUCCAUUCCACUAAUUAAAUGGAAGGAAAGUUAGCCAUGUUCCCUCACAAGCUUUUACCUCUCCAAUGUAAUGAAGCAAGAUUCCAGGAUCCCACGGUAACCCAUAACCCCAUCACAUCUAAUAAACAACAUACCCUCUCAAGUUUUUCUCUCGACAAUUUGUCAAAUCCCCUUUUUAGGAAUGGGAGUUAAUCCUUAUCAUCAUACGUGUAUUGAUCAGUUCCAAUAUCUAUUAUUUAUACAGUGCCUUUAUUGUAGUAAAACUGCCUAAGGCAUUUCACAGGAGAAUUAUCAAAUAGAAUUUGACACCCGAGUCACGAGAGGAGAUAUUAGGACAAACGACCAAAAGUUUGGUCACAGAGAUAGGCUUUAAAGCCCGUCUUAAAGAAGGAAAGAGAGGUAGAGAGGCAGAGAGGGUAGGGAAGAAUUCCAGAGACUAGGAGGCAGAAGUUGCAGUUGCCAGUGGUGAUUAUAGUUGGGGAUGUGUAAGAGUGAAAGAGGGCAUAUACCUUGGAGGGUUGCAGGGCUGAAGGAGGUUACAGAUAUAGGACAUUGACUCUUUGAAAAUAAAUACUUCCUGACACCUAACCUAAUGUUUUUGCCUCCAGAUAUUUCAAGCAUAUUCUCUCAUCCUAUCUUCCCUAUCCAUCUCAAAUAACCCAUGCAACUGGACUGAAUCCAAUUGCUCCAUUCUUUUGAAAACUUCUUUAUACCCGCAUUUCUGCAGCUUGAAUAACCCUAACUUCUUAGAAUGUAUCUGUAUAGCUAAGAGCUCUUAAACUAGCUGGCAUUUUAAUUGCCCUUGUCUGCACCUUCCCCAGAGCUUUAAUAUUCUUUUCCAUAACUGAGGACCAGAACUGGACGUGAUACUCCAAGUGCAGGCAUACCAAAACUUUAAAACAGAUGAAGUAUAUUAUUCUUCAAUUUGUACCUUAUAGUCUUUGCUAUACAGCCUAAAAUCACAUUUACUUUCCCUCUAGCCAACUUGUGCACCUUUUAAUGACUGAUCAACUAUUACUCACAUGAUCCAUUACCUUUACUGAGUAUAAUUGCAUGGUAUAAGCAGGCUUAGAGUUACCAAAAUCCAAAUGCCCAAAUCUGCAGUUGUUCACAUUAGAAGAUAUGUGCCAUUCAUGACUCUAUUCUCCCACCUUGCCCAAAUUGACAUGCAACUACUAGGCUUCAGAUGGUUGAAUUUCAUCAGUCCAGUCAAUAAUUUGAUGGGAGAUAUUCAGAAUGCUGUAAAUUUCAUUCUUACCUUUAAUUCUUCUUUUGAAUAUUGUUGUAAGUUUCUAGAUUAGAAGUUAAAUCAGAGAUGGUCAUUGCGCUCAUUUGUUCGGUGUGACAGGAAGUAGGAAAUCAUCACUGUGAACAGGCAAGAUUUGUAAGAAUUUGAGUUUAUGAGGGUAUUUUGAGGUGGAGGGGGGAGUGGUUUAGGCAUUGCAAGCGUUAAAUGACCCUAAGACUUCCUCUAAAGUUACUGUGUGCAAGGGGGUUGGUUAGUUCAGUUGGCAAGCAGGCUAGCAUGUGGUUCAGAAUAAUGGUGGGAUUCAAUUCCUGUUCUGGCUGACUUAGACUUGGGACCUGUCUCCUCACCUGCCCCAUGCUUGAUGUGGAGUGGUGCCCCUCAAGUUAUAUAACCAAUUGUCCCUCUCUAAUACAGAGAGAUGCCUAUGGUCCCUUGAGGACUAUGACGAAUUACUUACCUACUGUUCUGCAAAAAUACAGUGCUUUGGCCUUUUGCUGACUUCUGCCUGCUGCAGUACAACAAGAACCUUGUUAUUGCAAAAACUAUUUACUAUUGUUAGAAGAAAGAGGAAAAGAACUGACUGAGACUUAGAGCUGUCUCCAGCCUUUUCUCUCAUCUCUUUCUAUAUCUGUGGGAAUGCGCAAUGUAUGUUGCUGAAUAUAACCAAAUGUAAUUUCCCUUUACUUUUUAUUAUUAUUAAACUUUGCUAGAUUGCAUUUAAUAUUAA